rnacentral:rRNA from 1 species
AUUGAACGCUGACGGCAGGCCUCACACAUGCAAGUCGAACGAGUGGCGGAAGGGUGAGUAAUGUCUGGGAAACUGCCCGAUGGAGGGGGAUAACUACUGGAAACGGUAGCUAAUACCGCAUCCCAUCGGAUGUGCCCCGAUGGGAUUAGGUUGUAGGUGAGGUAACGGCUCACCGAGGCGACGAUCCCUAGCUGGUCUGAGAGGAUGUCCAUGCACACUGAAACGGAGACACGGUCCAGACUCUUACGGGAGUCAGGAUUGGGGAAUAUUGCACAAUGGGCGCAAGCCUUGUGCAGCCAUGCCGCGUGUAUGAAGAAGGCCUUCUGGUUGUAAAGUACUUUCAGCGGGGAGGCGUUACCCUCAGAAGAAGCUCCGGCUAACUCCGUGCCAGCAGCGGCGGUAAUAC